UACGUAGGGUGCGAGCGUUAAUCGGAAUUACUGGGCGUAAAGCGUGCGCAGGCGGUUUUGUAAGCCAGAUGUGAAAUCCCCGGGCUCAACCUGGGAAUGGCAUUUGGGACUGCGAGGCUCGAGUGCGGCAGAGGAGACUGGAAUUCCUGGUGUAGCAGUGAAAUGCGUAGAUAUCAGGAGGAACACCGAUGGCGAAGGCAGGUCUCUGGGCUGACACUGACGCUCAUGCACGAAAGCGUGGGGAGCAAACAGG
rnacentral:rRNA from 1 species